rnacentral:rRNA from 2 species
AUAAUGGGUCAGCGACUUAUAUUCUGUAGCAAGGUUAACCGAAUAGGGGAGCCGAAGGGAAACCGAGUCUUAACUGGGCGUUAAGUUGCAGGGUAUAGACCCGAAACCCGGUGAUCUAGCCAUGGGCAGGUUGAAGGUUGGGUAACACUAACUGGAGGACCGAACCGACUAAUGUUGAAAAAUUAGCGGAUGACUUGUGGCUGGGGGUGAAAGGCCAAUCAAACCGGGAGAUAGCUGGUUCUCCCCGAAAGCUAUUUAGGUAGCGCCUCGUGAAUUCAUCUCCGGGGGUAGAGCACUGUUUCGGCAAGGGGGUCAUCCCGACUUACCAACCCGAUGCAAACUGCGAAUACCGGAGAAUGUUAUCACGGGAGACACACGGCGGGUGCUAACGUCCGUCGUGAAGAGGGAAACAACCCAGACCGCCAGCUAAGGUCCCAAAGUCAUGGUUAAGUGGGAAACGAUGUGGGAAGGCCCAGACAGCCAGGAUGUUGGCUUAGAAGCAGCCAUCAUUUAAAGAAAGCGUAAUAGCUCACUGGUCGAGUCGGCCUGCGCGGAAGAUGUAACGGGGCUAAACCAUGCACCGAAGCUGCGGCAGCGACGCUGAUGCGUUGUUGGGUAGGGGAGCGUUCUGUAAGCCUGCGAAGGUGUGCUGUGAGGCAUGCUGGAGGUAUCAGAAGUGCGAAUGCUGACAUAAGUAACGAUAAAGCGGGUGAAAAGCCCGCUCGCCGGAAGACCAAGGGUUCCUGUCCAACGUUAAUCGGGGCAGGGUGAGUCGACCCCUAAGGCGAGGCCGAAAGGCGUAGUCGAUGGGAAACAGGUUAAUAUUCCUGUACUUGGUGUUACUGCGAAGGGGGGACGGAGAAGGCUAUGUUGGCCGGGCGACGGUUGUCCCGGUUUAAGCGUGUAGGCUGGUUUUCCAGGCAAAUCCGGAAAAUCAAGGCUGAGGCGUGAUGACGAGGCACUACGGUGCUGAAGCAACAAAUGCCCUGCUUCCAGGAAAAGCCUCUAAGCAUCAGGUAACAUCAAAUCGUACCCCAAACCGACACAGGUGGUCAGGUAGAGAAUACCAAGGCGCUUGAGAGAACUCGGGUGAAGGAACUAGGCAAAAUGGUGCCGUAACUUCGGGAGAAGGCACGCUGAUAUGUAGGUGAAGUCCCUCGCGGAUGGAGCUGAAAUCAGUCGAAGAUACCAGCUGGCUGCAACUGUUUAUUAAAAACACAGCACUGUGCAAACACGAAAGUGGACGUAUACGGUGUGACGCCUGCCCGGUGCCGGAAGGUUAAUUGAUGGGGUUAGCGCAAGCGAAGCUCUUGAUCGAAGCCCCGGUAAACGGCGGCCGUAACUAUAACGGUCCUAAGGUAGCGAAAUUCCUUGUCGGGUAAGUUCCGACCUGCACGAAUGGCGUAAUGAUGGCCAGGCUGUCUCCACCCGAGACUCAGUGAAAUUGAACUCGCUGUGAAGAUGCAGUGUACCCGCGGCAAGACGGAAAGACCCCGUGAACCUUUACUAUAGCUUGACACUGAACAUUGAGCCUUGAUGUGUAGGAUAGGUGGGAGGCUUUGAAGUGUGGACGCCAGUCUGCAUGGAGCCGACCUUGAAAUACCACCCUUUAAUGUUUGAUGUUCUAACGU